rfam:Candidate division WS6 bacterium RIFOXYB1_FTLL_33_14 rifoxyb1_full_scaffold_3803, whole genome shotgun sequence.
CGCGGGGUAGAGCAGUGGCAGCUCGUCAGGCUCAUAACCUGAAGGUCGUUGGUUCGAAUCCAACCCCCGCAA